rnacentral:lncRNA from 10 species
GUAAUUAGUGCCACUGAACUGUACAUUGAAAUAUGGUUAAAAUGGUUUUAUCUUCAAGAUGGUUUAUUGGGGGUUUUAUUAAUGUGCCUCAUCCACUUAGAGUAAAAUAGAGUGUGAAGAUUCACACUGUAAACUUUCAUCGGAGAAGAAACACAGGUGCCUAACACAAAAAAUGAAAGAAACUUCAGACACAUUGCAUGGAGAGGUGCGCAGCAAUCUCUACCUUGAGAGAGGCAGAAAACUGUGUUUCUAGAGCUUGAAAGGGGGAGAAACUGUCUGCAUGAUACUUAUUCUCACUGGGGAGCUGGGAAAUCCAGGCAAUGAGGGAGUGAGUGCCUUAACUCUACCCAGUGUUGAAGGUUAUUUGGUGAGUAGUGAGGACUACAUGAGAAGGAGAGGCAUCAAUAAGUGUUUUGUGUGCACUCUCAUAGCCCAGCAAAGACAGAGAGAAGAUAUUCCUGAUCUGACUCAUAGGGGACCUCAUAGAAUUCUGCCAACUAACUCAAGUGGUGGUCACAGGUUGGCAGCAUCUUCCGACUGAGAUGUGCAAUCUAAUCUAGAGUGGGAAGGAUUCCUUUAAACAGAAUUGAAGCACAUCAGGAAUGAACAAUGGCAUUUUCAGAUGAAGGAAAACUAAGAGAUUUCAUCACGAAUAGAGCUACUCUACAAGAAAUACUAAAGUUAUUUGUGAAUAUCAAAGAGAAGCUUGAAUCUUCUGGAAGGAAAGAAGAACAACUGAAAUG